UACGUAGGCAGCAAGCGUUGUUCGGAAUUACUGGGCGUAAAGAGUGCGUAGGUGGUUGGCUAAGUUUGGUGUGAAAUCUCCCGGCUCAACUGGGAGGGUGCGCCGAAAACUGGCUAGCUAGAGUGUGGGAGAGGGACGUGGAAUUCCUGGUGUAGCGGUGAAAUGCGUAGAUAUCAGGAGGAACACCUGCGGUGUAGACGGCGUCCUGGACCAUUACUGACACUGAGGCACGAAAGCGUGGGGAGCAAACAGG
rnacentral:rRNA from 1 species